UUCCAGCAUAAGCAGAACUGGGAGAUGUUUAAACCUCCAGGAGAGAAGAGCAGGAAGGAACUUCACUGGGCCAUUAGGGAACAACUUGUGUAUCAGCCUCCACCUCCGAGACCUCAGAAGACGUACAUCCCCAACAUUUAUGUGGUUCAAACAGAGAAGAAGCGAUCUGCGCUAAGAUGGGAGAUCCGACAUGAUUUAGCACAUGGCAUUAUUCC